GAGAGAGAGAGAGAGAGAGAGAAGAGAGAGAGAGAGAGAGAGAGGCAAAGGGGCUGUGCUCUUGGUGGCAUCUCCAUCUUAUAACUCAAUGCGCACUCUUACUCACUCUUUCACUCACUCACUUUCACACACACACACACACAGAGGCACAGCUCGUACAGUACAGUAUAAUAGUGUAGUUCAGUGUCAGGAUGGAGUCAGGACCUGUUUUCAUGUGGAGCAGCAAGUGUGACGACGUCUGUAUGGAGGAAAUAAUGUUGGAUCAUUUGCAACAGAACGGAGUAGACCAUCAUGCAACCACAGACAGAAGCAGAUGCAGGACUUUGGACAACCUUUGAUCAUCUGCAUCCAACUGGCAAACUGAGCCUCUCUGUUAUUACACAUCAACAAUUUCAGCCUGUGUCCAACAUGCGGUGUCUUGUGUUGCCUAACAUUCGGUCUUUAACAAUUAGGACACUUCAAUCAAGGACUGCUCUCAGAAACUGAUUUCAUUUGGUGGCUUAGAUGUUUGUAACUAGUCUCUAGCACCAUAUGAAAUCAGUGUUUUGGGAGGUGGACUAUCAGCAUGUGCUAACUGUGCAUGAAUGAACUGAAACACACCAUGUUCCUGUGAUGCCUGAAAGUAGGUCACAUUUGUGUAAAUAUCUGUUCUCUCCUGCUUCAGUCACUAACUGGUCACAGCUGCUGUUGUUUCUCUUUAGUGUGUGUGUGUGUGCCCCCCCCCGUCUCUUGCUUGUUGCUAAACUCACAAUACAAUAAAGAAAUCAUUAUGAAUCCACCUAUUCAUGUAUAAUUGCUUUCAUUGACUGAGUUUGAGCUACAGUAUAGAUGCUUUAUAUAAGCUUUAUGGAAUUAUUUUCUGUACUGGCCUGAACUGAGAAACUGUCCAAUUGUAAAAGGAAGCACUCCUGUGCUGACUUCUAAAGCCUAUUCUUUAGGUUGCAUACAUCCAGUCUGUCUGAAGUUUGUUUAGAUGAACUGUUGCUUUCCAUUCAAAAAUACUGUCUGUAAGGAUCUCAUCAAUGAAAUUGCUUUAUCUAAUACAGUUUUUAAAGCUGAAAUGCUUUAUGGAUCGCUAUGUGAGUGACAGCUGAGGUAAUCUGUAUUUUUUUUUUUUUAAAUACUGAAAAAUAAAAACCAUUCCAGAGUGAUGAAUGUUGUAAAAAAUUAAUUUUUCUUUUUCUUACAUUUCACCAUCAUGCUUGUUACAAUAAGCUUUUAUUAUAAAGUUGUCAAAGUGUCCCAUUUAAACCAAUUCCAGGAUAAACUGUUGAUUUUUUUAACGUUAAUACAACCAGUACCUAAAUCUUUCAUCAGCUGUUGAUUGUAAUAAAUAAAUAAAUGACUGAAAACCA